rnacentral:rRNA from 1 species
GACAGAGGGUGCAAGCGUUGUUCGGAAUUACUGGGCGUAAAGCGCGUGUAGGCUGCUUCGAAAGUCGGAUGUGAAAGCCCUGGGCUCAACCUAGGAAGUGCAUUCGAAACUUCGAAGCUGGAGUCCUGGAGAGGAAGGCGGAAUUCUCGGUGUAGAGGUGAAAUUCGUAGAUAUCGGGAGGAACACCGGUGGCGAAGGCGGCGACCUGGGUAGAUACUGACGCUGAGGUGCGAAAGCGUGGGGAGCAAACAGG